GCAUAUCAAUAAGCGGAGGAAAAGAAACCAACAGGGAUUGCCCUAGUAACGGCGAGUGAAGCGGCAACAGCUCAAAUUUGAAAUCUGGCCUCGGCCCGAGUUGUAAUUUGUAGAGGAAGCUUUUGGUGCGGCACCUACUGAGUCCCCUGGAACGGGGCGCCAUAGAGGGUGAGAGCCCCGUAUAGUUGGAUGCCUAGCCUCUGUAAAGCUCCUUCGACGAGUCGAGUAGUUUGGGAAUGCUGCUCAAAAUGGGAGGUAAAUUUCUUCUAAAGCUAAAUACCGGCCAGAGACCGAUAGCGCACAAGUAGAGUGAUCGAAAGAUGAAAAGCACUUUGAAAAGAGGGUUAAAUAGCACGUGAAAUUGUUGAAAGGGAAGCGCUUGUGACCAGACUUGCGCCGGGCUGAUCAUCCGGUGUUCUCACCGGUGCACUCUGCCCGGCUCAGGCCAGCAUCGGUUCUCGCGGGGGGAUAAAGGCCCUGGGAACGUAGCUCCUCCGGGAGUGUUAUAGCCCAGGGUGUAAUGCCCUCGCGGGGACCGAGGUUCGCGCAUCUGCAAGGAUG
rnacentral:rRNA from 1 species